rnacentral:rRNA from 1 species
CCCUUAGAUGUUCUGGGCUGCACGCGCGCUACACUGAUGCAUCCAACGAGUUUUUGACCUGAGCCGAUAGGCCUAGGUAAUCUUGUGAGUAUGCAUCGUGAUGGGGAUAGAUUAUUGCAAUUAUUAAUCUUCAACGAGGAAUGCCUAGUAGGCGCGAGUCAACAGCUCGUGCCGAUUACGUCCCUGCCCUUUGUACACACCGCCCGUCGCUCCUACCGAUUGGGUGUGCUGGUGAAAUGUUCGGAUCGGCCGUUUGUCGCGGUUUCCGCGGCUCGUGGCUGAGAAGUUCAUUAAACCCUCCCACCUAGAGGAAGGAGAAGUCGUAACA